AGUCUCUUGAAGCUGGGUUUGAUGUAGCAAUGUCCUUGUCAGAGAUGGGUUUCUCUUGUCCCUUUGUAUAUCAGUGAAAAAUCCUCGAACAGUAGCCCCGAGAAAAGCUUUUCUUUCCCCUCGCCCCUGCCAAUGUUCCUGCGGAUCGCGGAUAUUUCUUCUGAGGCCUGCCGCAGCUCACGGGGGCCCUCGCAGCCAGCCGGCUCUCUCUGUUCCUUUGAUGGCCACGUGAAUGUAGAUUCCUGUCUAUUUCAGCUGCGCUUCCUCCCUCCCUCAUUUAGACGGUUUCUAAAAUGUUAACUGCUGAACUCCAGCCAGCAUGAAGCCGUUUCAUUCCGCUUCAGCCAGACCCCAAAUACUAAAGCUCCUGCAAAGACAUUCAAGCCGUGUUUUAGAAACAAGAGAAAGAAACACAAGUUUUAGAACACUUUGCGGGAGCGAAAUUUCGAGCUUGGCAACGUCAGGUUUCACUCGCGUUUAGAACAGGUUGCGAGAUAAUACAAACUGGAUUCAACUACAGAAAAUGGUACAAAGAGUCGCAGACAUGCCAUUAUUCAGUGUUUUUAAAACGGCAUGGAGAGGGCUUUUAGCAGGAUUUCCCCCUGCUUAUAAGAUGUGUACGCUCACGCCAAGAGGAAGAAUGUAAGAGCAGAUUACAUCUUCUGUCUGAUGUGACAGUCCCUGUCUUUACUGCCUUCGUGCUCUUUGGCUCCGCAAACACCAGCAACAUCACGUCAACUGCCUGUUCUACAGUGAAGAAUGCUCCGCACAGAUCUCACUUGGAAACAGGAAGAAAGCAUCUGGAAGUCACCUUGAAUCCAUAAGGGGAGUCAAUCUUAAGAAAAAGCUGAGAAAGACCGAAGAGAGGUAGGAAGGAACCAGAUCUAUGAUGACACGUUUGAGUUACUAGGAUCAAGCCAACAUUUAAGUCAGUUAUAAGAAUUAAUUUUCAUUGUUUUAGCCCAUAUGAGUUGGAUUUUCUAUUACCUAUGUCUUGAGGGAAAUAAAGAAACAAGUACAGACUCAAAGUAUAGAGUAAGAUUUUGUCAUUUACCAACAGCUGAAUGCCAGAGGGCAGGAGGAAGCCUUCUCCAGGCAGACCCAAGGAGACCAUUACCCUCUAUUUCCUUGACUGGCUGUUAGAUUAGAAGUCUAUAUUCACAAGUGUGGCGGGAGGUGAGUAGUGGUGAAGGGCAAUAGGUUUUUCGGUCAUAGUAACUCCUAAGAAUAGCUCAUUAUGGCAAAGGGUCAUAACAUAGCAAAGUGUGUGAUUUUGAAUAGAAGGCAAUCAACUUGGAGAGCUCGUUUUA